rnacentral:rRNA from 1 species
AUGGAUCCCGCGCUCAAAGCUUACCUCGACAAGAUGAGCGACGAGGCCACCGCCCGUGCCAACAAGCAAGACGGCAACAACAAUGCCAUCCUCCAGGCCUUGGCGACGCAGACGGCGCGGAUUGACUCCCUCGUCACUUGGAAGCCGGAGUUGGAGGCGCGGUUCGCACAAUUGGAGCUCUCGGUCGCGGCUCUCCAAGCCGCGUCGUCUUCAACUGCACCAUCCACCGGAUCGCCGCCGCUUGCGACCCCUCCCAUGGUUGCGCGCGAGAUCCAAGGGCAAUCAGGCCACGACGCACCACUGCAUCCUGGGGGAUCCUCGUCGGUGACCCCCGAGUCACUGGCGACUUCCCCGGUCACGGGUAUGACCCUGAUUCCUUCCCUGAUCUCGUCGCCACUGUCAUCUCAAGUUCUUUCUGCUCUGGGCCAAACUCCGCUGCCGAUGAUGUUUCCCGUCUUCGUCGGCGAGAACCCACAGCUCUGGAAGACUCUCAGAACAAUACUUCCAGAUGUUCACGGUGCACGAAUCCUACUAUGUUCCAAUGGCGAUCCUGAAUUUCUCAGGACCAGCCAUGAUUUGGUUGCACUGAAGAUAGGAGAGGCACUGACACAGCCAGAGCAGCGCCUGAUAACAGCAAAAUUGCAGCUCUCAGAACAUUCCUCAGAGCUCGAGGUCUCUGUUUUAAGUGCGGUCAAAGUAGCUGAUGGUGCUCUGUUCUUGUGCAAUAGUUACAUCGCCCUGUUCAGUACAGAUGCAGAUGUACUUGGUGAUCGACAGAAGCUGACUAACAAGUUAAAGCAGAGUGAAGUCAACCAAAGAUUCCCUGAACUGCGUUCUGAGCUAGAGGAGUUGCAGAAAGAGUAUCAGUACAUACGAUCUGAAUUUGAGCAUAAUCAGGACAUGAAUACCAAGCAAGCUGAGCAGAUGAAAACAAUGGAAAUAAGCCUCAUAGCCAUGACCGAACAGGUUGACAAGUUACGUGCGGAGAUGCAAAAUGCUGACAUGAGAGCACAAGGACUGGUGCAAGUAGCAGCAGGUCAAUCUGGGACGGCACAAGCUCAAGCUGCAUAUGGAAGUGCAUUUAACAAUCUCCCUGCUCAAACAACUCAAGCUUAUGGCAUGCCUUACGCAUACACUAAUCCCAUGGCGGGGUAUCAAGAUGUGCAAGCUAGUGGACAUGCUGGCUACCCAGUUGCCAGUUAUGAUCAGAACGCCAUCCCCUACUAUACAGUCUAUCCUGGCUACCCUGCAGGUUAUGAUCAGAAUGGCGUCCCCUACUAUACUGGCUACCCAGCAGGUGAUGAUCAGAAUGCCAUGCACUUCUAUCUUGUCGCCUAUUCUGCAACUGCGGUGGGCGUCCCAGCAACUGAUGCUGCCAACAUGGACGGCAAUGCUGGAUCUCCUGCCGGCGCCGGGCAGGCCGAAUCGACAGGCCACAUCACACUUGCAUCAGAUGCUCCUUCCGUCGCUGCAAUCGGCUCUCCGCUACUGGAGAUGUGA